ensembl:snRNA U6 U6 spliceosomal RNA
GUAUCACUUCAGCAGCACAGGCACUCAAGAUAAAAUGACACAGAGAAGAUUAGCAUGGCUCCUGUACCAGAACGACACACAAAUUCCCCUAUUUUA